GAGGCCCUAGCUUAAUUAAAGUGUCUGCUUUGCAUGCAGAAGAUGCGGGGUAAAGUCCUGUGGGUCUUA
rnacentral:tRNA from 1 species